AUUGAACGCUGGCGGUAUGCCUUACACAUGCAAGUCGAACGGCAGCACGGGAGCAAUCCUGGUGGCGAGUGGCGAACGGGUGAGUAAUAUAUCGGAACGUGCCCAGUCGUGGGGAUAACGUAGCGAAAGCUACGCUAAUACCGCAUACGAUCUAUGGAUGAAAGCGGGGGAUCGCAAGACCUCGCGCGAUUGGAGCGGCCGAUAUCAGAUUAGGUAGUUGGUGAGGUAAAGGCUCACCAAGCCGACGAUCUGUAGCUGGUCUGAGAGGACGACCAGCCACACUGGGACUGAGACACGGCCAGACUCCUACGGAGGCAGCAGUGGGGAAUUUUGGGACAAUGGGCGCAAGCCUGAUCCAGCAAUGCCGCGUGCAGGAUGAAGGCCUUCGGUUGUAACUAGCUUUGUAC
rnacentral:rRNA from 1 species